GAUUAUACUAAUCGUUCCUUUAAAGUGGUACUACUGUAAGCACCUUGACUUAAAUUGAUUUGACUCGUUAAAUGUUCAUAUAAUUAUUACAAAAUAUUUUCUUUGACCCUUGAUAAAGGUAUAAAAAUUCAAGGAAAUUUAAAUCACGGGCUUUAUCGGAAUAAAAUCAUGGAUAUAUGUCAGUUUGACAAACACAAAUAAAG
rnacentral:lncRNA from 1 species